CCCUCUAUUUCAUGAUUUUUGUGAAUUUUCUAAUUUUCUUGAAUUCUGUUUUAGACAGCCUUUUCCAUUGUUCCUUUUACAUAUAUUGAUCUAUAUUAUGUUUUUAUGUAUAUUUAAUUAUAGUAUGCUUGUCAAAGUGCUAUAUUGUUAGGUGGGAGUGAAUCUGAUCUUGGUUCAGUAUUCUACAGAAGGUCAUUUGGACCCAAAAUACUUAGUUUCACGAUUUUUGCCGAUUUCUUACUUCAGAUGGACCCAAAACCGGAAGUAGUUGUUUCUUAUGCGUAUUUCAAUAAUGAUAACGAUCAGUAGUUAUAUGGCUGUGGGUUUGCACUAUUUUUGCAAGUUCUAUGCCUCUGAACUUCCUGUGUAAGAUACAGAUGUGAAGCCCACCCCUCCAGAAAA
rnacentral:lncRNA from 1 species